rnacentral:rRNA from 1 species
CAGUCGUACCUUCGGGUAAUCAGCCUUUCGGGUGCGAUUCUGUGGAGUGUGAGGAGCUUAACACCUUCAUGCUUUGCAUAUUUGUGCUCUUGGGUGUACUUGCCCGUGUGGUUGGUUAACAUCAAUUUUGGUGGUCAUAAAAUGACUGGAGGAAUGUAGCUUUGAUCUCGUAUUGAAGUGUUAUAGCCUUCGGUAGAUGUGAUGAUCGAGAUUGAGGAUUGCAACGGAUACCCUUCGGGGCUACCUGUCUGGUCUCUGAUCGUUGCUCUGGUGCCGAAAGCUUGCUUACGGUUAUCAAAGUCGAUGGUCAAUAGGUUAGAACGGGUUAAA